UACGAAGGGGGCUAGCGUUGCUCGGAAUUACUGGGCGUAAAGGGCGCGUAGGCGGCGCUGCAAGUCAGGCGUGAAAUUCCUGGGCUUAACCUGGGGGCUGCGCUUGGGACUGUGGUGCUAGAGGACGGAAGAGGGUCGUGGAAUUCCCAGUGUAGAGGUGAAAUUCGUAGAUAUUGGGAAGAACACCGGUGGCGAAGGCGGCGACCUGGUCCGUUACCGACGCUGAGGCGCGACAGCGUGGGGAGCAAACAGG
rnacentral:rRNA from 1 species